rnacentral:rRNA from 1 species
UACGUAGGGUGCAAGCGUUGUCCGGAAUUAUUGGGCGUAAAGAGCUCGUAGGCGGUUCGUCGCGUCGGCUGUGAAAUCCCGAGGCUCAACCUCGGGUCUGCAGUCGAUACGGGCGGACUGGAGUUCGGCAGGGGAGACUGGAAUUCCUGGUGUAGCGGUGAAAUGCGUAGAGAUCGGGAGGAACACCAGUGGCGAAGGCGGCCCCCUGGGCCGGGCCUGACACUGAGACGCGAAGGCGUGGGGAGCGAACGGG